UACGAAGGGGGCGAGCGUUGUUCGGAUUUACUGGGCGUAAAGGGCGCGUAGGCGGCCCUCCUUGUCGCGUGUGAAAGCCCGGGCUCAACCUGGGAAUGGCAUCCGAUACGGCGGGACUGGAGUGUGGGAGAGGUUGGUGGAAUUCCCAGUGUAGAGGUGAAAUUCGUAGAUAUUCGCAAAGAACACCAGUGGCGAAGGCGGCUCACUGGCCCGGUACUGACGCUGAGGUGCGAAAGCGUGGGGAGCAAACAGG
rnacentral:rRNA from 1 species